UAGCGAAGUUCCUGAUGUCACACUGCCAAGAAAAGCUUCUAGUGAGAAAGUAACUGCCCGUACCGCAAACCGACACAGGUAGUUGAGGAGAGAAUCCUAAGGUGUGCGAGAGAACUCUCGUUAAGGAACUCGGCAAAAUGACCCCGUAACUUCGGGAGAAGGGGUGCUGACCGCAAGGUCAGCCGCAGUGAAUAGGCCCAAGCGACUGUUUAUCAAAAACACAGGUCUCUGCAAAAUCGAAAGAUGACGUAUAGGGGCUGACGCCUGCCCGGUGCUGGAAGGUUAAGAGGAGAGGUUAGCGCAAGCGAAGCUUUGAAUUGAAGCCCCAGUAAACGGCGGCCGUAACGAUAACGGUCCUAAGGUAGCGAAAUUCCUUGUCGGGUAAGUUCCGACCCGCACGAAAGGCGUAACGAUUUGGGCACUGUCUCAACGAGAGACUCGGUGAAAUUAUAGUACCAGUGAAGAUGCUGGUUACCCGCGACAGGACGGAAAGACCCCAUGGAGCUUUACUGCAGUUUGAUAUUGCGUGUUUGUAUCACAUGUACAGGAUAGGUAGGAGCCGAAGAUACCGGGACGCCAGUCUCAGAGGAGGCAACGGUGGGAUACUACCCUUGUGAUAUGACCACUCUAACCCGCUGCUCUUAGCGAGCAGGGAGACAGUGUCAGACGGGCAGUUUGACUGGGGCGGUCGCCUCCAAAAAUGUAACGGAGGCGCCCAAAGGUUCCCUCAGAAUGGUUGGAAAUCAUUCGUAGAGUGUAAAGGCAGAAGGGAGCUUGACUGCGAGACCUACAAGUCGAGCAGGGACGAAAGUCGGGCUUAGUGACCCGGUGGUUCCGCAUGGAAGGGCCAUCGCUCAACGGAUAAAAGCUACCCUGGGGAUAACAGGCUUAUCUCCCCCAAGAGUUCACAUCGACGGGGAGGUUUGGCACCUCGAUGUCGGCUCAUCGCAUCCUGGGGCUGUAGUCGGUCCCAAGGGUUGGGCUGUUCGCCCAUUAAAGCGGUACGCGAGCUGGGUUCAGAACGUCGUGAGACAGUUCGGUCCCUAUCCGUCGCGGGCGUUGGAAAUUUGAGAGGAGCUGUCCUUAGUACGAGAGGACCGGGAUGGACACACCGCUGGUGUACCAGUUGUUCUGCCAAGAGCAUCGCUGGGUAGCUAUGUGUGGACGGGAUAAACGCUGAAAGCAUCUAAGCGUGAAGCCCCCCUCAAGAUGAGAUUUCCCAUCACUUUAAGUGAGUAAGACCCCUGAGAGAUGAUCAGGUAGAUAGGUUGGGAGUGGAAGUACAGCGAUGUAUGGAGCGGACCAAUACUAAUCGGUCGAGGACUUAACC
rnacentral:rRNA from 1 species